rnacentral:rRNA from 1 species
UACGUAGGGGGCAAGCGUUGUCCGGAAUCAUUGGGCGUAAAGCGCGUGUAGGCGGCCCGAUAAGUCCGCUGUGAAAGUCCAGGGCUCAACCCUGGGAUGCCGGUGGAUACUGUCGGGCUCGAGUCCGGAAGAGGCGAGUGGAAUUCCUGGUGUAGCGGUGAAAUGCGCAGAUAUCAGGAGGAACACCAAUUGCGAAGGCAGCUCGCUGGGACGUUACUGACGCUGAGACGCGAAAGCCAGGGGAGCGAACGGG